ensembl:lncRNA
GUAAGCAAAGAGUGAGGCCCAGUCCAGAGGCUGAGAGUUUGGGCUUUGGAAUCAAACAGACAAGAGCACAAACCACAGCUCCACAACAUGUGACCUUGGACAAGCACCUUUACCUCUUCUCUACAUGUUGGUUUCCCUCCUUGUAAUAUGGGAUGGAGACUAGUAACUGCCUCCUCUGCUGGUAAAUAAGAUACAAUCCAAAGGCACAGAGCACCUGGCCCAGAGAGAUUGCUUCGUAUCUGCUAUCCAGCAUGGCCAUCUGAUGGGGCCUGGACCUGGCUAAUUGUGGGCCCUGCUCCUCCCUCUGCCUGAGCCCCCAGCAGCUUCUCUGACCCAGCUGGAGGAAGAAGCUCUGAUGGGCAUCUCCUGUCCGUGCACAUCAAGUUAUUUCUAGUUGAUUUGUUAUUGUGGUUGUUGUGGUUGUUAUUUCUACUAAGAACAUUGAGCUAUGAAUAAACUGUGCAUUUUUCUUGAUGAAUGUGGAAAAGAGAUUCUCUAGGGUGUACAUAAUAAUAAUU